UGCGUAGGUGGGCAGGUAAGUCAGUGGUGAAAUCUCCGGGCUUAACCCGGAAACUGCCGUUGAUACUAUCUGUCUUGAAUAUAGUGGAGGUGAGCGGAAUAUGUCAUGUAGCGGUGAAAUGCUUAGAGAUGACAUAGAACACCCAUUGCGAAGGCAGCUCGCUACACUAUUAUUGACACUGAUGCACGAAAGCGUGGGGAUCAAACAGGAUUAGAUACCCUGGUAGUCCACGCCCUAAACGAUGGAUACUCGACAUCAGCGAUACACUGUUGGUGUCUGAGCGAAAGCAUUAAGUAUCCCACCUGGGAAGUACGACCGCAAGGUUGAA
rnacentral:rRNA from 1 species